rnacentral:lncRNA from 1 species
CUGAAGAUGCUAUGAGGUGGACUGGACAGGGCAGGGUUAUUGAGCGAUGGAGGGAAGCUGGAGCAGGUGCUCAGAGAAGUCAGGAGGGGGAUGAAGAGAACAGUCAGGCCAGUGGGACCUGGUAUCUGGAGAAAUGGGGCCUGGCAAGAGGGGGAAAGGAGGAACAGUGAGUUUGCUGCAUCAGAAGGACCUGGUAAGUGGUGGGCCUGACUGUUCCCACUUCAAACCACUUCUUAGCUUCAUUUGUUCUCAUAAUAUCAGGAUAGCCCUUUCUCCUCAAGAGGCCUGGGCAUCAGCAGUCAGAUGGCAGUGGAAGGUGGAGAAAUGGAAUCCUGCUGGGGGCUCAGGAGACCUGCCCCCGGAUGCUGCCGUGCACUGCAGAUGUCCUUGAUGAAGAAAAUGAAUGGAAGCUGUCUUUCUCAAUGGCAAAAGGACAUACUGCUGUUAUUGUCAGUGAGGGGCCAGGAGGUAAGAGAGAGAUAAAUGGUAACAGAAAGUGCUUCCUUAAGUGAAAUUAGGGGAGUGCGUGUGUGUGUGUGUGUCUGUGUGUGUGUGUGUGCAUAUUUGGGGUAGGGGGAGUGGU